rnacentral:rRNA from 1 species
AUGCAAGUCGAGCGGAGACAGUGAGUAGCUUGCUAUGAGCUGUUUUAGCGGCGGACGGGUGAGUAACGCGUGAGCAACCUUUCCCAGACAGGGGAAUAACACACCGAAAGGUGUACUAAUACCGCAUAAGACCACGGGAUCACAUGGUUCUGGGGUAAAAGAUUUGUCGGUUUGGGGUGGGCUCGCGUCCGAUUAGGUAGUUGGUGAGGUAACGGCCCACCAAGCCGACGAUCGGUAGCCGACCUGAGAGGGUGAUCGGCCACAUUGGGACUGAGACACGGCCCAAACUCCUACGGGAGGCAGCAGUGGGGAAUAUUGGGCAAUGGGGGGAACCCUGACCCAGCAACGCCGCGUGGAGGAAGAAGGUUUUCGGAUCGUAAACUCCUGUCCUUGGAGACGAGUAGAAGACGGUAUCCAAGGAGGAAGCCCCGGCCAACUACGUGCCAGCAGCCGCGGUAAUACGUAGGGGGCAAGCGUUGUCCGGAAUAAUUGGGCGUAAAGGGCGCGUAGGCGGCCCGGUAAGUCUGGAGUGAAAGUCCUGCUUUUAAGGUGGGAAUUGCUUUGGAUACUGUCGGGCUUGAGUGCAGGAGAGGUUAGUG